CUGAAGGAAACGGGGGCACAAAAUCAAAAGAAAAUAGUUUUAAACUAAUACCAUUAAUGAUUUUAUGGAAUAGAGAAAAAUAUAUUGGAAACAUAUUUACUUUUUUUUUAACACCUGGAUUAAAAUGGUACUCUGUGGGUGUGUUGAGGCCCACCCUCACUGUCCUCCCUCCAUUCAAAGAGGAAGAGAAGCAGUGCAGUGCCACUCUGGUCUGUUUGGCCACCGGGGGCUUCCCCUCAAACUGGAAGCUGGGCUGGAAGGUGGGGCGCACCAGCACAUCCUCAGGUGUGUCAAGCAGCCUGGAAGCCUUGGGGACAGACGGUCGCUACAGCUGGAGCAGCACCCUGAGCCUCUCUACAGACCAGUGGAGGAAGGCGGGCUCAGUGACCUGUGAAGCCAGUCUGAGUGGACAGAGCCCCGUCACUCAAACCCUGGACCCUGACCACUGCUCAGAGUAGAGCUUCAGCAACACUUCCUGUUUGCAUAUGAUGUGUUUGAUGAAGCUACAUGUUUUGUUUGUUCUAAUCUUCCUGCAAAUAUUUGACUCUCUAUUGAUGUGCAUGCAGAUGUCAUCUGUUUAUUCAUAUUGUGUUUUCAAACCAUGCUAUAAAAAGAAAGUCUGUGGAACCCAAUAAAAUCCCAGUUUAUGAAAAAUCA